AAAACCUACAUCCGUUUUUCAUCUGUCACACAUAGAAAAAGAGCAGGUCUUUGAUCAUGCAGCUGAGGCCACCAUUUUUACUUUUAACUCUCUCAAGACCCUGUACCUCCUGGACCUGGGGCAGAUCCACCAUUUUAGGCAAUUGGAGCUAUAGAUGUAGGGCCCUAGGUUUUACAAAGCACGUGACUUCUUCAAUGUCUCAGUAAGUAAUGAUGCUUCUGCGCAUGCACAGAUUGUACCUUAUGACAUCCGGGCAGGUGGGCGGAGCCUCCCGCCACUUUUACUACCAGUUCUCAAGAACCGGACAACCCACCACACAGUGGGAGCAACCCACCACUGGUUCUGUAGAAAACAGGUGGGUCUUGCAUUGUGAUGUCAUAAUGCUGCUGACAAUAUCAGUUUGCACCCCAUUUGCCUCCUCUGCAGACAACACUGACCUCACAAAAAUGUCUCCAUUUCAUCACGAUUAAUCAGGUCAUCCACUACAAGCUGCUCCUCAAUAGUCAAUGUAUCUAAGAUGCAGUGGAAGUGACCCUCCCUCACCAUCAGUCCAGCUCUACUAAUUUAUGUUGGCCAACGGCAUCUGACUGAUCUGGAGUAAGAAAUGGCAAGAAUUCAGAACAUCUAUUUUAGCAAUCAUCUCUGCUGCAGUUUGUGAGCUGGUUCGUGGGGAGCAACACAAUGGUUGCAAAAGAACACAUUUCAUUUCAUCUCCACCAGGGGAAACUUACAUCCUCAACAGAUCCCAGUACGGUAAAACUCAGUAUCAGACAAAUCCAUGUAGAAAGCUAUGUUCGUGGAUUAGGUCAACUGCUUUCCACCAACAGCCAAGCAUAGACCUUCACAAAUGAAGAAAGGCAUUCAGACCCCAUUCUGAAGACAACAAAUGCAUCUCCAUGAAUACAAGGAGUGAUUUUUGUCACAAAUAGACUAGCCCCAUUUUGAAAGAUAUUUUAUUUUAUUUCAGGGGAUGGGGGGGAGGAUUGACAGAAUGAUGAAUGUUGCCAUAGAUUUUUUUUUUCUCUGGCACGUAUUAAAUGCCUUUCAAUAUUUCAAUUGCCAUACAGAAAAAUAAAGUUAGUUAAAAAAAGGC